GUGAAUCAUCGAAUUUUUGAACGCAAAUUGCACUCUCCUCGGGGAGCAUGCCUGUUUGAGGGUCAGCCUAUAAAAAUCGACAUCGUUGCUGUUUCGCGGUGGCGUUCGGCGGAAAUUUGGUCAUCGUAAAUCUCGGUUUAAGCGACUUAAAAAUUUUUUUUACGAUUCUAAGAAUGUUUCUAAGUUUUUUCUUGUACGUUUAAGGUUUCU
rnacentral:misc_RNA from 1 species